AGAAAAGCGGCUUCUAUCCUUGAGUUUUUGGCAAUUAUUGAUGGAAGCAUGGACAUGAUCAUCUCAGCAAAUAUUGAAUCUGGUCUGGAUGCUGUUUUCCAACAAAAAGUAUUGAGUGAAAUGGAUUUUGAUAUUGAAAAUCAGCAGCCAGAAGUAUAUGCCCUUCAAGUUGAAGAAGCCGGUCUUGCAGUAUCUGCAGCAUCUCGGUUACUCACAAAGCUUCUUGAUUCAGAUCAAUUUUGUUGCACCAUAAAUUCCAC
rnacentral:misc_RNA from 1 species